UGGGGAAUUUUCCGCAAUGGGCGAAAGCCUGACGGAGCAAUGCCGCGUGGAGGUGGAAGGCCUACGGGUCGUCAAUUUCUUUUCUCGGAGAAGAAACAAUGACGGUAUCUGAGGAAUAAGCAUCGGCUAACUCUGUGCCUG
rnacentral:rRNA from 1 species